UAAAGGGAACCAGGCCACUGUGGGGCCAUAUAUCUGCCUCUCCAGGGCCACAUCUGCCUCUCUUGGGAGGCUCUCAACCGCAUGUCUUUUGGCUCCUGGGCAGACCCUGGUAGUGUCUGGGCAAGAGGCAGAUCUCCAGCCUCCUCAUCAACUGUUGGCUCUCUUCUUAACUCCAGGGACCCAGCAUUACAGGAAAGCUCGCCACUUCUGUAUUUCUACCAGUCAUGCCCCCAGAGGAAGCCCUUAGGCCUCACAGCCGCGUCUUCUAAUCGAGUUUACCUUCACUGUGAAGAGACUCUACAGUCUGCUGAGAGCUUUCUCCACCCAGGAAAGGUGUGUUUCUGCAGUGUUGACCUCGAUCCGGAACCCAGAUCUGUUUGUCCAGCAGCUUUCCCCACACCUGAGGCACUGACCAGGGGCCAACGCUACGGAGAGGGGAGGAGGGAUGAUACCCUUCCCAGGGAAUUUGUAAGGAUUAAAUGAGAUAAUUCACAUGCAGCGAGAUGGCCAGCUGGUGGCAAACACACAGAUGUGGAAACAGACACGUGGCUCUGUGACUUUGGUCUUCCCUCUGAGGUCUCUGCACUUUUACACAAAGGCUCACUCUGACCUCUCUCCUGCUGGACAGGGACCCCUUCAGCCCCUCAGGCUUGGAAAGAAAGGUAAGGAAGGA